AACAAGAUGGUUGAGAUUUAAACGAUAAACUGUAAAUUUAUUUACGAGUAAACACUCUCUUGUAA
rnacentral:tRNA from 1 species